ensembl:lncRNA
AGAGAAGGUGACUGACCACUCAUGCUUGCUCCAUGUUAAGUAGUUGACUGACUCGGAGUUGUCAGUGAUUGAGGAGUUGACCGACUCCUAGUUAAGGGUCGGUUUCAUAUGCCAGCUUUCUCCUGCAGUGGUGCCAGGGCUUUCAUCCUGGUGAUGUUUGCAAGGGCUGACUCCGUCGUUCCUCCAGCUAUUGGUAUUCUGCAGCAGCUGUCUGAUGGAGAUGGAGCUCUCUGACAAGGAUGGGCCGGAACUCCAGCUGCUGUGAAAAAAUGUCAUUUAUUAGGUCAUUUUAUUGCAUCAUAAUGUUUGGAGUCAUGACUGGCAGAUUUCACCUCCCCUUUUAAGUCCAGGCAGAGCCAGACACCAGCCCUGUUGGCUGAGGCAUCCGCCUUUGAUUGAGAGCCAAGGAAGAGCAAGAGGACAGGCCCCAGCAGAACGUGGCUGAUCUGCUGGGUAGACCAAGACCUUGGCGUUGGCCUCUCAAUUUCUGGUAUGAGAUGGGCCUGCUUAGGUUUUCUGCUUCUUUUUGAAUGAAUUUUGAAAUUUUACGUUUUCCUCAAAAAGUAUCCAUUUCGCUCAAACCUUGGAAACAGGAACACAUAUUUGUACAAACGAUUAUUUUAUAAGAUUUAAAUUUCCUAUAUAUAAAUAUCAAAUCAAUAUGUUGCAUACCUGAAACCAAUAUGAUGUUACAUGUCAAAUACAUCUCAAUAAAGAAAGCUAAAAAAAG